rnacentral:rRNA from 1 species
UACGGGGGGGGCAAGCGUUGUUCGGAAUUACUGGGCGUAAAGGGGACGUAGGCGGCCAACUAAGUCCGACGUGAAAUCCCAAGGCUUAACCUUGGAACUGCGUCGGAUACUGGAUGGCUUGAAUUCGGGAGAGGGAUGCAGAAUUCCAAGUGUAGCGGUGAAAUGCGUAGAUAUCUGGAGGAACACCGGUGGCGAAGGCGGCAUUCUGGACCGAUAUUGACGCUGAGGAGCGAAAGCCAGGGGAGCAAACGGG